rnacentral:rRNA from 1 species
CUCGUAGGCGGUCUGUUGCGUCAGGAGUGAAAACUCGGGGCUUAACCCCGAGCCUGCUUCUGAUACGGGCAGACUAGAGGUAUGCAGGGGAGAGCGGAAUUCCUGGUGUAGCGGUGAAAUGCGCAGAUAUCAGGAGGAACACCGGUGGCGAAGGCGGUUCUCUGGGCAUUACCUGACGCUGAGGAGCGAAAGUGUGGGGAGCGAACA